rnacentral:rRNA from 1 species
UGGGGAAUUUUGGACAAUGGGCGAAAGCCUGAUCCAGCAAUGCCGCGUGUGUGAAGAAGGCCUUCGGGUUGUAAAGCACUUUUGUCCGGAAAGAAAUCCUUGGCUCUAAUACAGUCGGGGGAUGACGGUACCGGAAGAAUAAGCACCGGCUAACUACGUGCCAGCAGCCGCGGUAAUACGUAGGGUGCAAGCGUUAAUCGGAAUUACUGGGCGUAAAGCGUGCGCAGGCGGUUUGCUAAGACCGAUGUGAAAUCCCCGGGCUCAACCUGGGAACUGCAUUGGUGACUGGCAGGCUAGAGUAUGGCAGAGGGGGGUAGAAUUCCACGUGUAGCAGUGAAAUGCGUAGAGAUGUGGAGGAAUACCGAUGGCGAAGGCAGCCCCCUGGGCCAAAUACUGACGCUCAUGCACGAAAAGCGUGGGGAGCAAAACAGGAUUAGAUACCCCUGGUAGUCCACGCCCCUAAAACGAUGUCAACUAGUUGUUGGGGGAUUCAUUUCCUUAGUAACGUAGCUAACGCGUGAAGUUGACCGCCUGGGGAGUACGGUCGCAAGAUUAAAAACUCAAAUGAAUUGACGGGGUCAUAGCUGUUUCCU